rnacentral:rRNA from 1 species
AGAGUUUGAUCCUGGCUCAAGACGAACGCUGGCGGCGUGCCUAAUACAUGCAAGUAGAACGCUGAAGAGAGGAGCUUGCUCUUCUUGGAUGAGUUGCGAACGGGUGAGUAACGCGUAGGUAACCUGCCUUGUAGCGGGGGAUAACUAUUGGAAACGAUAGCUAAUACCGCAUAACAAUGGAUGACACAUGUCAUUUAUUUGAAAGGGGCAAAUGCUCCACUACAAGAUGGACCUGCGUUGUAUUAGCUAGUAGGUGAGGUAACGGCUCACCUAGGCGACGAUACAUAGCCGACCUGAGAGGGUGAUCGGCCACACUGGGACUGAGACACGGCCCAGACUCCUACGGGAGGCAGCAGUAGGGAAUCUUCGGCAAUGGGGGCAACCCUGACCGAGCAACGCCGCGUGAGUGAAGAAGGUUUUCGGAUCGUAAAGCUCUGUUGUAAGUCAAGAACGAGUGUGAGAGUGGAAAGUUCACACUGUGACGGUAGCUUACCAGAAAGGGACGGCUAACUACGUGCCAGCAGCCGCGGUAAUACGUAGGUCCCGAGCGUUGUCCGGAUUUAUUGGGCGUAAAGCGAGCGCAGGCGGUUUGAUAAGUCUGAAGUUAAAGGCUGUGGCUCAACCAUAGUUCGCUUUGGAAACUGUCAAACUUGAGUGCAGAAGGGGAGAGUGGAAUUCCAUGUGUAGCGGUGAAAUGCGUAGAUAUAUGGAGGAACAUCAGUGGCGAAGGCGGCUUACUGGACUGAAACUGACACUGAGGCACGAAAGCGUGGGGAGCAAACAGAAUUAGAUACCCUGGUAGUCCACGCCGUAAACGA